GAUAAGGUGGCUGAAAUAAAUAGGCUGUAAAUUGUAAAUUUAUAUAUAAGUUAUAUACUUUCUUAUCA
rnacentral:tRNA from 1 species